rnacentral:rRNA from 1 species
CCUACGGGAGGCAGCAGUGAGGAAUAUUGGUCAAUGGGCGGAAGUCUGAACCAGCCAAGCCGCGUGCAGGAUGACUGCCCUAUGGGUUGUAAACCGCUUUUGUAUGGGAAUAAACCUGUACACUUGUGGCCGUCUGCAUGUACCUUACGAAUAAGGAUCGGCUAACUCCGUGCCAGCAGCCGCGGUAAUACGGAGGAUCCGAGCGUUAUCCGGAUUUAUUGGGUUUAAAGGGAGCGUAGGCGGAGUGUUAAGUCAGAUGGGAAAGUUGUGGGCUCAACCCGGGCACUGCAUUUGAAACUGGUAGUCUUGAGUGUAGUAGAGGUAGGCGGAAUGCGUGGUGGAGCGGUGAAAUGCGUAGAUAUCACGAGGAACUCCGAUGGCGAAGGCGGCCUGCUGGACUGCAACUGACGCUGAGGCUCGAAAGCGUGGGUAGCAAACAGGAUUAGAUACCCGUGUAGUC